ACGGAUCUCUUGGUUCUGGCAUCGAUGAAGAACGCAGCGAAAUGCGAUAAGUAAUGUGAAUUGCAGAAUUCAGUGAAUCAUCGAAUCUUUGAACGCACAUUGCGCCCGCCGGUAUUCCGGCGGGCAUGCCUGUUCGAGCGUCAUUUCACCACUCAAGCCCAGCUUGGUGUU
rnacentral:rRNA from 1 species